rnacentral:rRNA from 1 species
GACGAACGCUGGCGGCGUGCCUAAUACAUGCAAGUAGAACGCUGAAGAGAGGAGCUUGCUCUUCUUGGAUGAGUUGCGAACGGGUGAGUAACGCGUAGGUAACCUGCCUGGUAGCGGGGGAUAACUAUUGGAAACGAUAGCUAAUACCGCAUAAAAUUGAUUAUUGCAUGAUAAUUAAUUGAAAGAUGCAAUUGCAUCACUACCAGAUGGACCUGCGUUGUAUUAGCUAGUUGGUGAGGUAACGGCUCACCAAGGCGACGAUACAUAGCCGACCUGAGAGGGUGAUCGGCCACACUGGGACUGAGACACGGCCCAGACUCCUACGGGAGGCAGCAGUAGGGAAUCUUCGGCAAUGGGGGGAACCCUGACCGAGCAACGCCGCGUGAGUGAAGAAGGUUUUCGGAUCGUAAAGCUCUGUUGUAAGAGAAGAACGGGUGUGAGAGUGGAAAGUUCACACUGUGACGGUAUCUUACCAGAAAGGGACGGCUAACUACGUGCCAGCAGCCGCGGUAAUACGUAGGUCCCGAGCGUUGUCCGGAUUUAUUGGGCGUAAAGCGAGCGCAGGCGGUUAGAUAAGUCUGAAGUUAAAGGCUGUGGCUUAACCAUAGUAUGCUUUGGAAACUGUUUAACUUGAGUGCAGAAGGGGAGAGUGGAAUUCCAUGUGUAGCGGUGAAAUGCGUAGAUAUAUGGAGGAACACCGGUGGCGAAAGCGGCUCUCUGGUCUGUAACUGACGCUGAGGCUCGAAAGCGUGGGGAGCAACAGGGAUUAGAUACCCUGGUAGUCCACGCCGUAAACGAUGAGUGCUAGGUGUUAGGCCCUUUCCGGGGCUUAGUGCCGCAGCUAACGCAUUAAGCACUCCGCCUGGGGAGUACGACCGCAAGGUUGAAACUCAAAGGAAUUGACGGGGGCCCGCACAAGCGGUGGAGCAUGUGGUUUAAUUCGAAGCAACGCGAAGAACCUUACCAGGUCUUGACAUCCCUCUGACCGCUCUAGAGAUAGAGUUUUCCUUCGGGACAGAGGUGACAGGUGGUGCAUGGUUGUCGUCAGCUCGUGUCGUGAGAUGUUGGGUUAAGUCCCGCAACGAGCGCAACCCCUAUUGUUAGUUGCCAUCAUUGAGUUGGGCACUCUAGCGAGACUGCCGGUAAUAAACCGGAGGAAGGUGGGGAUGACGUCAAAUCAUCAUGCCCCUUAUGACCUGGGCUACACACGUGCUACAAUGGCUGGUACAACGAGUCGCAAGCCGGUGACGGCAAGCUAAUCUCUGAAAGCCAGUCUCAGUUCGGAUUGUAGGCUGCAACUCGCCUACAUGAAGUCGGAAUCGCUAGUAAUCGCGGAUCAGCACGCCGCGGUGAAUACGUUCCCGGGCCU